UAAGUAUCUAGGACAAGGUAGGGGGAGAGGAGUCAGAAUGCGUGGCGGUGCUCAAAGAAGGGCCAGAGCUAGGGUCACUGAUGAAAUAAGAGCUACUAUUAUAGACCAUGUCGUUAACCUCGGGCUAUCACACAGGGAGGCUGGUGAAUGAGUCUAGCCAAAUCUCAGCAAGGGUACAGUGGCAUCUAUUGUCCGGACUUUUCGAGAAACAUACAGGAUUCAACGUCUACCUUUCUCAGAGGAAAGCCCAUUAAUGAAGAACAGGAACUUGUUAUUGUCAACAUGGUGAUUGCUGACAAUUAAAUAAAACUGUAGGAGAUUCAGUAGAGAGUUGAAGAUGACAACCUUGUCCUUGGGAACAUUGCAGCAAACAGCGUAACAUCAAUUUCUCGGACUCUCGCUAAACAAACGAGUCCAAAUGAAACAACUACACAAAGUUCCUUUUGAAAGGAACAGCGAGCGCAUCAAAGAACUAGAGAGUCAUGGAGUUGGAGACCAAACAAGUCCCAUAUGAAAUGAUCUACGUUGACGAGGCUGGCUUCAAGUUGGUGAAAAGGAGUUCUCUCUGGGACUGUCUGAGGGGAAAUGGGACAAGAUUAAACUUUACUUUUGUCUUCACUGCAAAGAUGAGGAAUCCAAAGAUCCAGCUUUAAAUCCCACCCCAAAACCAUCCAAAAGGUUUGGAUCUGUCUUUUGCAACUCAUAUUUUUAUUUCAUGAGUUUAAAAAAUCUAGUUCAAGUCCUUUGGCUGAAGCAUGGAGCAGUCUCUGCCAGUAUUUGGACACAACACACAUUUAUUUUCUUAUUUUGGCUCCAUACUGUUUAGCUUGGAUGGGAAAUGAUGAGAUGACUUUGAAGUUCAAGUGAAAACUAACAGCUUAGAUGACUUUCAGCCAAAUGAAUGCCCUUAUUUAUAGCCAUUCCAUAUGCACAAAGCCACACUUCACACUUAUGUAGGCACCUUCCCACAUAACAACUGUAACUUGACCUGAUCUUCCUAGAUCAUUUGUGCAACUUACUAACACUCUGAUUGCCAUAAACAAACUGUUUGGAUUAUGUUGCUGCUGUGUAAAGUCUAAUGUUGCAAUCUAUAUUGCCACUCACUUUAUCUUCCUCCAAAUUACUCUGCUUUCUAAUACAUGCUUUUGGUAUGGACUCCCUGUAUCUUGUAUAUGAGGCAUUAUGUGGUAAAACUAAUUUGCUUUUGGAUAACCCAAAGGAACACACUUACCCACUAUUUUAUUUGAUCUUUUCAAUUAAUACAUUGUUGACUAUUAUCAACUAAUCCCCAUGUAACAAUCAUGAUAACAGGAAAAGGCCAGAGAAACUCAAUUAGAGCUAACUCUAAAUGUAUCACAUUUUUAUUUAGCACUUCUGGGUCCACUGUGUUUUUUAAACUUAUACAUUUUACAUUUUAUUUUGAUAUCUCUCCCCUGUCAAAGGUGGUAGAAUGGUGGUAUUUACCAAUUUCUUGAUCAACAGCUGCCUCAAAUGACAACAAUGCAAAGCAGUGAGGAAUGUUGCAUCAUUUACUUUGUAGUGUAACCUUUAGCUUAAUGUAAUGUAAUCACGCUUGGUGGGUUUUUCUAUUGCAUUAAGUGGAAUA